AAUCAACGCUGGCGGCGUGCCUCAGACAUGCAAGUCGAACGAUUAAGACUCCCUUCGGGAAGUGCAUAAAGUGGCGCACGGGUGAGUAACACGUAAGUAAUCUACCCUCGAGUGGGGAAUAACGUUCGGAAACGGACGCUAAUACCGCAUAAUGCAGCGGCAUCGCAAGAUGACAGUUGUUAAAGGAGUAAUUCGCUUGAGGAGGAGCUUGCGGCAGAUUAGCUGGUUGGUAAGGUAACGGCUUACCAAGGCUACGAUCUGUAUCCGGUCUAAGAGGACGGUCGGACACACUGACACUGAAUAACGGGUCAGACUCCUACGGGAGGCAGCAGUCGGGAAUUUUGGGCAAUGGGCGAAAGCCUGACCCAGCAACGCCGCGUGAAGGAUGAAGUAUUUCGGUAUGUAAACUUCGAAAGAAAGGGAAGAAUAAAUGACGGUACCAUUUAUAAGCUCCGGCUAACUACGUGCCAGCCGCCGCGGUAAGAC
rnacentral:rRNA from 1 species